AUGCCAAUUGCAAAUGUUAUAGGGAUCACGCAUAAGAUUCUACCACUGUAUGAAAAAAUCUCUGACGAUGCAAAGGAAACAGUUCAAGAGUGUGUAUCUGAGUAUAUCAGUUUCAUAACUGGGCUUGAUGAUUACAUUGAACUUCUUACUAUGUAUCUUCAUCGUCGCCAUGAGCUUGAAGGUGGACAAGGAAAUGCUGAUGCCAAUGGACAUCAUCAUCAACAUCAUCAUCAUCAAUAUAAACAAUAG